rnacentral:rRNA from 1 species
UGGCUCAGGACGAACGCUGGCGGCGUGCCUAAUACAUGCAAGUCGAGCGAAUUUCAAGGGGCUUGCCCCUUGAGGUUAGCGGCGGACGGGUGAGUAACACGUGGGCAACCUGCCUGUAAGACUGGGAUAACACCGGGAAACCGGUGCUAAUACCGGAUAACUCUUCACCUCUCAUGAGGUGAAGCUGAAAGUCGGUUUCGGCUGACACUUACAGAUGGGCCCGCGGCGCAUUAGCUAGUUGGUGAGGUAACGGCUCACCAAGGCGACGAUGCGUAGCCGACCUGAGAGGGUGAUCGGCCACACUGGGACUGAGACACGGCCCAGACUCCUACGGGAGGCAGCAGUAGGGAAUCUUCCGCAAUGGACGAAAGUCUGACGGAGCAACGCCGCGUGAGUGAUGAAGGCCUUCGGGUCGUAAAACUCUGUUGUUAGGGAAGAACAAGUACCGGAGUAACUGCCGGUACCUUGACGGUACCUAACCAGAAAGCCACGGCUAACUACGUGCCAGCAGCCGCGGUAAUACGUAGGUGGCAAGCGUUGUCCGGAAUUAUUGGGCGUAAAGCGCGCGCAGGCGGUCCUUUAAGUCUGAUGUGAAAGCCCACGGCUCAACCGUGGAGGGUCAUUGGAAACUGGGGGACUUGAGUGCAGAAGAGGAAAGCGGAAUUCCACGUGUAGCGGUGAAAUGCGUAGAGAUGUGGAGGAACACCAGUGGCGAAGGCGGCUUUCUGGUCUGUAACUGACGCUGAGGCGCGAAAGCGUGGGGAGCAAACAGGAUUAGAUACCCUGGUAGUCCACGCCGUAAACGAUGAGUGCUAAGUGUUAGAGGGUUUCCGCCCUUUAGUGCUGCAGCUAACGCAUCAAGCACUCC